rnacentral:sRNA from 1 species
AUCCGGAGGAAAAGGGAGUUUCGGGCUGAUGCUCGGGCCGUCAUUUCCCUGAUGGAGAUGGGGUUCGACGAGAAGGAGGUGAUAGACGCCCUCAGAGUGAACAACAACCAGCAGAAUGCCGCGUGUGAGUGGCUGCUGGGGGACCGGAAGCCCUCUCCGGAGGAGCUGGACAAGGGCAUCGACCCCGACAGUCCUCUCUUUCAGGCCAUCCUGGAUAACCCGGUGGUGCAACUGGGCCUGACCAACCCGAAAACAUUGCUAGCAUUUGAAGACAUGCUGGAGAACCCGCUGAACAGCACCCAGUGGAUGAAUGAUCCAGAAACAGGGCCUGUCAUGCUGCAGAUCUCUAGAAUCUUCCAGACACUAAAUCGCACGUAGGUGGCGCCGUUCCACUCAGCUGUCAGGCCACAGCAGCCCCCUGGUGCAGCCCGAGACCAGGCAGAGUGGACCUCACCUGGAAACUCACCUUCAGCGCCUCAGCCCUGGACUGUUAGAGGUGCCACAGCUGCUCCCGCUCUCUGAUCUUAUUGCUUAUAAACUUCGGUGACGGUAGUGUGUAAGGCCAUAUUUUUAGCAUCUGACAGGUGUUUACAAAAAAGUGGUUGUCGCACUGGAAAGUGGAGUGAUGGCCUCCUCUCCAGUGCUCCUCUGGGCUCUUGAGUUGCUGCUUGAAUUGCCCCGUAGACAUUUGCUUGGAGAGUCCACUUGUUAUUUGACGGAGAUAGGUUUCAACCCA